UACGUAGGGUGCAAGCGUUGUCCGGAAUUAUUGGGCGUAAAGAGCUCGUAGGCGGUUUGUCGCGUCUGCUGUGAAAACUCGGGGCUUAACUCCGGGCCUGCAGUGGGUACGGGCAGACUAGAGUUCGGUAGAGGAGUGUGGAAUUCCUGGUGGAGCGGUGAAAUGCGCAGAGAUCAGGAGGAACACCCGUAGCGAAGGCGGCACUCUGGGCCGAUACUGACACUGAGGGGCGAAAGCGUGGGGAGCGAACAGG
rnacentral:rRNA from 1 species